rnacentral:tRNA from 1 species
UUUUCUUUAGUGUGGUCACGCACAGGAGGUUUUGAUCCUCCAAGGGGAUAAAAUCUAAGAAAAA